GCAGAGGUACAGAGGAGAGUGUCUAAGAAUGUGGACCUUUGAGACACAUGGACAUGAAUGAUGGCUGUGCCAGUUGGGAAGAAAUCUAAACAGUUUAAUAGGACUUUUCCUGUGAAUGAAAACCUCCCCAUUUUCUCCCUUUCUGGAGUCCCUAUGGAGUCCUGGGCCUGAAUUCUGGGCGCACCAGUCAUGCUGAAGGACACUCAUGUGUGCAGGAGCUAAAUCUAAUGGGGCAGGAGACAAAGGGUAGAGAUGUCCACAAGGAGUUACAUUCAAAUGGUUUGGCCAGGGGAUUCUGAGAGUAGUUACAGGUAAUGUCUAGUUUUUAGUUUUUCUUUGGUCAUUCUGUCUUAUAAUAUCCUGAAGACUUUAGUAAAAUGUUGGUUUAUGUUAUAUCAUAUUGGGUUUGUAUUUUUUGUGGAAUUAAGAGAUGGGCUUGAGUUAGGAUGACCAAUUGGUCCAGGUUUGCCUGGGCUUUCCUAGUUUAAUCCUGGAAUUCCCAUGUCUCAGGCAAGCUGGGAUGAUGGGUCCCUGUAGCUGGAGUCUACACUUGAGCUUAACUUGUUGGGAGAGAAGAGUAACAGCCUGGAAAAAGUUAGAUUCACGUCUGUCAGUGGCAACCUUUAGAAGAGGUGCGCCAUGUCUUUACUUGAAUCAGGCAGCAGUUCAGGUAUCAAGCAAAUGUUAAGAAAAAGUAUCCAAAUUUUAGCAAUAGGCAGUGCCAUGCAAGGUAUUGUCUAGCCAGUCCACAGAGGUCUUAUCUGAUUCUCUAGGGGUGAAUACCUUUGUUGGACUUACUAUUUUAAUAUUGAUUAGGACAUCUGAUAUUUCUGUAAAGGUUGAUAUUAACUUGUAGAAACUCAUGUAUAUGAUUGUUUUCUGAGAGCAAUGCAAAUAAAUUUUAUUCAAGAGAUGAAAUGAUUUCUGUCCUAUAAAAAAGAUGAACCCCAGAAGUUGAAGUUUUUGCCCUGUAGAAUAUUAACUAGUCUUAUAUUUAAAUCAGCAUUCUUAUUCUACUAUCCUUUAAGCCACUACAGGGGCCAGCCUGGUAGCAUAACAGUUAAGUUUGCACAUUCUGCUUUGGAGGCCUGGAGUUUGCUGGCCCAGAACCCGGGUGCAGGCCUGCUCACCACUUGUCAAGCCAUGCUGUGGCAGCCAUCCCACGUAUCAAGUAAAGGAAAACAGGCAUGGAUGUUAGCUCAGGGCCAGUCUUCCUCAGCAAAAAGAGGAGGAUUGGCGGCAGAUGUUAGCUCAGGGCUAAUCUUCCUCAAAAAAAAAAAUAAAAAUAAGCCACUAUAAAUAUUUUGAUAUUGUCCAAUUCUUUUAAAAUCAACUUCACCAUCUUUCUGCUUCCCUCAUUAAUGAGAUAAAUAAAAUUUGACACUGCUGACUUUAUUUGGGUUAGUGAUGUUUUCAUAUUUUUGAAAAUCAUCCUUUGACAUUAGAGAUUUGUGGAAUGUGUUAAUAUUCCUAAGAAAUAUCCUAGAAAUUUGUUGAGGGAGUGCACCUGGUGAAAGUCUGGGUUUUCUGCAUCCUUUCUCCCUCCCUGGGUGAGGGAAACUAUGAAUAUGAUGAAGAGAUUGGGUGUUCCCGGAGUGAGGAAGUCUUUCUGUCCCUCCUUCAUCUUUGCUGCCAAGCCCCCAGGCCUCAGCCUUCUCCCCUGCUGGCAGAGGCCCUCCUCUUAGUCAGUGGAUUCUAUCAAUGAUGUUGUGGUGGGGUGAGGGGUGGUGCAGAUUUUUCAGAGCUCUCAAACUGAAACAUCUACAAACCAAACCUUUCUUUUACCAAUAUAGACC
rnacentral:lncRNA from 1 species